GGUAUAGUUCUUCGGAGCUAGAGACCGGCGCACGGGUGCGUAACGCGUAUGCAAUCUGCCUUUCACAGAGGGAUAGCCCAGAGAAAUUUGGAUUAAUACCUCAUAGUAUUAUGGAAGGGCAUCCUUUUAUAAUUAAAGUCACAACGGUGAAAGAUGAGCAUGCGUCCCAUUAGCUAGUUGGUAAGGUAACGGCUUACCAAGGCAACGAUGGGUAGGGGUCCUGAGAGGGAGAUCCCCCACACUGGUACUGAGACACGGACCAGACUCCUACGGGAGGCAGCAGUGAGGAAUAUUGGUCAAUGGGCGCAAGCCUGAACCAGCCAUGCCGCGUGCAGGAUGACGGUCCUAUGGAUUGUAAACUGCUUUUGUACGAGAAGAAACACUGAUUCGUGAAUCAGCUUGACGGUAUCGUAAGAAUAAGGAUCGGCUAACUCCGUGCCAGCAGCCGCGGUAAUACGGAGGAUCCAAGCGUUAUCCGGAAUCAUUGGGUUUAAAGGGUCCGUAGGCGGUUUAGUAAGUCAGUGGUGAAAGCCCAUCGCUCAACGGUGGAACGGCCAUUGAUACUGCUGAACUUGAAUUAUUAGGAAGUAACUAGAAUAUGUAGUGUAGCGGUGAAAUGCUUAGAUAUUACAUGGAAUACCAAUUGCGAAGGCAGGUUACUACUAAUGGAUUGACGCUGAUGGACGAAAGCGUGGGGAGCGAACAGGAUUAGAUACCCUGGUAGUCCACGCCGUAAACGAUGGAUACUAGCUGGUGGAGCAAUUUCAGUGGCUAAGCGAAAGUGAUAAGUAUCCCA
rnacentral:rRNA from 1 species